GGCAUCUAACCCUUCUUUACGUGACUCAGAGGAAGAGGACUUCCAGGUUCCAGGACUGAUUCUGGUGCCACUUGAACAAUGGAUGAUGAUGAUUUUGGUGGUUUUGAGGCUGCAGAGACUUUUGGUGGUGGAAAUGGUGACGCUCAAACAACAUCUCCUGCUAUUCCUUGGGCUGCCUUUCCUACAGUAUCUGGAGUCCAUCUUUCAUCAGCGUCUCCUGAGAUUGUACUGGACCAUGACCACUCUUCUCCUUCAGUUGGCUGCCUCUCUUCCGAUGCCAUCAUUUCAUCUCCAGAGAAUAUCCAUACAGAUAACAGCAUUGUGAGUCACAAUGUUCCUAAAGCACAGAUUCAGCAAUCAACACACACUCAUCUGGAUAUCUCACUUUUUCCAUUGAAUUUAACUGAUGAAAAAAAUAAUGGAACAAUUGCCCUUGUGGAUGAUUCUGAGGAUCCUGGAGCCAAUGUAUCAAACAUAGAGCUUCAGCAAAAAAUUUCAAGUCUAGAGAUUAAGCUCAAAGUAUCUGAAGAAGAAAAACAGAGAAUUAAAAAGGAUGUAGAAUCAUUAAUGGAAAAACAUAGUGUCUUAGAAAAAGGCUUUCUAAAAGAAAAAGAGCAAGAGGCCAUUUCUUUUCAAGAUAGAUACAAAGAACUUCAGGAAAAACAUAAACAAGAAUUGGAAGACAUGAGGAAAGCUGGUCAUGAAGCCCUCAGCAUUAUUGUGGAUGAAUAUAAGGCACUACUACAAUCUUCAGUUAAGCAACAAGUCGAAGCUAUUGAAAAACAGUACAUUUCUGCAAUUGAGAAACAAGCACACAAAUGUGAGGAGCUGCUAAAUGCUCAGCAUCAGAGGCUUCUUGAAAUGCUAGAUACAGAGAAGGAAUUGUUAAGAGAAAAAAUAAAGGAAGCUUUGACUCAGCAAUCUCAAGAACAGAAGGAAAUAUUGGAAAAAUGUUUAGAGGAAGAAAGGCAAAGAAAUAAAGAAGCUUUAGUAUCUGCUGCAAAGUUUGAGAAAGAAGCAAUGAAGGAUGUAGUUUUAAAAGCUAUAGAAGAAGAGAGAAAAAAUUUGGAAAAAGCCCAUGCUGAAGAAAGG